UACGUAGGUGGCAAGCGUUGUUCGGAAUUAUUGGGCGUAAAGGGCGCGUAGGCGGUCUUGUAAGUCAGCUGUGAAAGCCCGGGGCUCAACCCCGGAGGGUCGGCUGAUACUGCAGGACUGGAGUACGGAAGAGGUAGCUGGAAUUCCCGGUGUAGCGGUGAAAUGCGUAGAUAUCGAGAGGAACACCUGCGGCGAAGGCGGGUUGCUGGGCUGACACUGACGCUGAAGCGCGAAAGCUAGGGGAGCGAACGGG
rnacentral:rRNA from 1 species